AGUAACUACAGGGGGCAGGUGUACAGUAACUACAGGUAACAGGAGUCAGGUGUACAGUAACUACAGUAGUCAGGUGUACAGUAACUACAGGUAACAGGAGUCAGGUGUACAGUAACUACAGGGGUCAGGUUUACAGUAACUACAGGUAACAGGAGUCAGGUGUACAGUAACUACAGGUAACAGGGGUCAGGUGUACAGUAACUACAGGUAACAGGAGUCAGGUAUACAGUAACUACAGGUAACAGGGGUCAGGUGUACAGUAACUACAGUACAGUACAUGUUUGUCUGAGUGCCAGUGGAACAGAAGCUUCUCUUCUCCUUCUGUCUGUAAUUCUCCGGUCUUUCUUUGACACCCAGCAUAACAUUGUCGUGGGGUAUGUUAUUUUCGCUACAAGGGGUGCCGAAUCAGUUGGAAGGGCAUUUUAUUUCCAUAGCACGUAUUUAAUGUGUGCUAUAUCAGAGACAAUGGGCGGCAGGUGAGUUUCAACUUUGGGGAAGCUUACAAUUUAUCCUACAAUUUCUACCGAUCUACGUGGCAGUUAGGAUUUUUUUUUUUUUAUAUGAGCAUUUUCGUGGAACAUUUUCAUUUCAAUAAUGAAGUUUUCAAUAAUCGUCACAGGGUUAAUUAAUAAAAAUCUUUAGUGGGUCAGGUAAACAGCGGGCCAGGUAACAGCGGGCCAGGUAAACAGCGGGCCAGGUAAACAGCAGGGGGCCAGGUAAACAGCAGGGGGCCAGGUAACAGCAGGGGGCCAGGUAACAGCAGGCCAGGUAACAGCAGGCCAGGUAAACAGCAGGCCAGGUAAACAGCAGGCCAGGUUAACAGGACAGAGAAAGCAGACACGUUGCUCUCAUGGCCACUCCCAACAAAACACAAUUAAAAUUUUUUUUUUUACAAAACUCCAAAAUGAUGGUUAUGAAAUAAACCAAAACCUGUUUCUAACAAGUGUAACAGGUUAUGAACACA
ensembl:lncRNA